UACGUAGGGUGCGAGCGUUAAUCGGAAUUACUGGGCGUAAAGCGUGCGCAGGCGGUUUUGUAAGUCAGAUGUGAAAUCCCCGGGCUUAACCUGGGAAUGGCAUUUGGGACUGCCGGGCUAGAGUCCGGAAGAGGCGAGUGGAAUUCCUGGUGUAGCGGUGGAAUGCGCAGAUAUCAGGAGGAACACCAGUGGCGAAGGCAGCUCGCUGGGACGUGACUGACGCUGAGGCGCGAAAGCGUGGGGAGCAAACGGG
rnacentral:rRNA from 1 species